GCCGGCGUAGCUCAGUGGUAGAGCAGCUGAUUCGUAAUCAGCAGGUCGCGGGUUCGACUCCCAUCGCCGGCUCCA
rnacentral:tRNA from 1 species